rnacentral:tRNA from 1 species
GGCCGAGUAGCCAAGUGGUAAGGCGAGGGUCUGCAAAACUCUUAUACAUGGGUUCAAUUCCCAUCUCGGCCU